rnacentral:rRNA from 1 species
UAGAUUAAGCCAUGCAUGUCUAAGUAUAAAUAGUAUACAGUGAAACUGCGAAUGGCUCAUUAAAACAGUUAUAGUUUAUUUGAUAAUUGAAAAUUACAUGGAUAACCGUGGUAAUUCUAGAGCUAAUACAUGCUGUCAAGCCCGACUUUUUGAAGGGUUGUAUUUAUUAGACUUAAGCCAAUAUUCCUCACGGUCUAUUGCGGUGAUUCAUAAUAACUGAUCGAAUCUCAUAUGUGAGAUAAAUCAUUCAAGUUUCUGCCCUAUCAGCUUUCGAUGGUAGUGUAUUGGACUACCAUGGCAGUAACGGGUAACGAAGAAUUAGGGUUCGAUUUCGGAGAGGGAGCAUGAGAAACGGCUACCACAUCUAAGGAAGGCAGCAGGCGCGUAAAUUACCCAAUCCUGACUCAGGGAGGUAGUGACAAGAAAUAGCAAACCGGGAGCCUCACGGUUUCACGGUAUUGCAAUGAGAACAAUUUAAAACUCUUAGCGAGGAACAAGUGGAGGACAAGUCUGGUGCCAGCACCCGCGGUAAUUCCAGCUCCACUAGCGUAUAUUAAAGUUGUUGCAGUUAAAAAGCUCGUAGUUGAACUUCUGUAUGGGGCUAGUUCUGACUUCUGUCUGGCUAGUCCCAUGCAUCCGCUUGUAAGACCUGGAGGGCAUUUAUUUGUCGCCAGGAGGAACAGGCUUUUUACUUUGAAAAAAUUAGAGUGUUUAAGGCAGGCUAUCGCCCGCAUAUAUUAGCAUGGAAUAAUAGAAUAGGACACUUUUCCAUUUCGUUGGUUAUUGGAAUCGUGUAAUGAUUAAUAGGGACAGUUGUGGGCAUUUGUAUUUAAUUGUCAGAGGUGAAAUUCUUGGAUUUAUUAAAGACAAACUAACGCGAAAGCAUUUGCCAAGGAUGUUUUCAUUAAUCAAGAACGAAAGUUAGGGGAUCAAAGACGAUCAGAUACCGUCCUAGUCUUAACUAUAAACUAUUCCGACUCAAUGUUUGGCUGGCUUCUUUAACCAGCUGAGCGUUGUAUGAGAAAUCAAAGUCUUUAGGUUCUGGGGGGAGUAUGGUUGCAAAGCUGAAACUUAAAGGAAUUGACGGAAGAGCACAACCAGGAGUGGAUUCUGCGGCUUAAUUUGACUCAACACGGGGAAACUUACCAGGUUAAAACAAUAGUGGGAUUGACAGCUUGAGAGCGCUUUCUUGAUUGGUUGGGUGGUGGUGCAUGGCCGUUCUUAGUUGGUGGAGUGAUUUGUCUGCUUAAUUGCGUUAACGAACGAGACCUUAACCUGCUUACUAGACUGGCGAUGAACAAUCGUCAGCUCUUCUUAGAGGGACUUUGGUUGUUUUAACUCCAAGGAAGUUUGAGGCAAUAACAGGUCUGUGAUGCCCUUAGAUAUCCUGGGCCGCACGCGUCAUACAAUGACUAGUUCAGAAAGUUUCAUCCUGACCCGGAAGGGGCUGGGUAAUCUUGUCAGUACUAGUCGUAUUAGGGAUAGAUCUUUGCAAUUAUAGAUCUUGAACGAGGAAUUCCUAGUAAGUGCGGUUCAUCAGACCGUACUGAUUACGUCCCUGCUCUUUGUACACACCGCCCGUCGCUUCUACCGAGUGAGUGGUCCGGUGAGAUACUUGGAUCAACGGGGCAACCCGAUUUGAGAAGAUUAUCAAACCUAUCCACUUCGAGGAAGAAGAAGUCGUAACAAGGUUUCCGUAGGUGAACCUGCGGAAGGAUCAUUGACACAACAAUCAAUACACCUAAACCUUUGUUCUGUAUGGCUGUCAGAUUUAUCUGGCAGUCAUAUUUUUACAAACCUUCUUAACAGAAGAAAAAACCAUAAACAAGUUAAAAACAAAAAAACCAAAAAUACUCAACAAUGGAUAUCUUGGUUCCCAUAUCGAUGAAGAACGCAGCGAAAUGCGAUAUGUAAUGCGAAUUGCAAAAUCCACGAGUCAUCAAAUCUUUGAACGCAACUGGCGUUGGCUACCUGCCAACAUAUUUGUAUCAGUGUGUAAGGAAAUCACAAAUCUGAAUGUGGUUGAGCGUAACAGCUCUCCCAUUAAACACGAGGGGUGGAGGACAACUCUGCCAAACGAAGUAGUCGCUAGCUAUCUAGUGAUCUCGUUUGAGCGCUAGUAGUCUUCAGAAACACCUUUAKAACAAGCUCUCUCCAUCCAUACCUGAUAUAAGUAAGACCACCCGCUGAACUUAAGCAUAUCAGUAAGCGGA